AUCCUGAUAUUAUUCGACGAUCUGCUACAAUUUUUCGUCUCACAGAUAAUUUGGGGACAUCAUCGGAUGAAUUGAAAAGAGGUGAUGUUUCCAAGUCAAUCCAGUGUUACAUGAAUGAAAAGGGUGCAUCAGAAG